CACCACAUGUCAUCGACACCGAUACCGCAAAUCACCCACACCGCUGCACCCUGCAAACUGAUAUCGCAGGUAUCGCCUCUCUUUCUCUCACUCCUCUCUUUCUUCCUACCCGCACCGCAUUUGCCUCCACCGCCUCUGCCUCGAAUCACAAUUCACCACCACCGCAGAUACCACUUCUCUCCUUUUCACUAUUCUCUCUCUUGCUCCACCACCACCACCACCUCUACCUCCACAUCCACAUUACCACCAAGCCCAACCACCACACUACAACACACCAAAUCGCAGCCUCCCCCUCCUCACUACUACCCCGUCGCAACUUACCAUGCGUCAACCUCUCUUUCUCUUUCUCUUUCUCUCCUAGUGACAACGGGUUAGGGUGUUGGGUUAGGUUUUGUAAUUUGAGUAGGGUAGAGUUUUAAGGUUUUUUAUUUUUUUCAGGUUGGAUAGAAGCUAAUGUUGGGGCCGACAACGAUAAGGAGAGACAAGGAUGAGGUUGGAUCGUGUGGCUCUUUCUCAUUAUUUUUUGGUGUGUGUUUUAUUUAUUAAGACAGUGAGUACUAUACCGAUCGUUCGGGCAUCGAAACAAAGUUUUGGCAAUAUAAUCACCAUCACUGAACUAGCGAUGGGGCCACCACCACUCCGGCAUGUUGAAUUUUUUGAUUUUUUUUUACUAAAUUUGGUGUUGACUUUUUUUAAUUUCUGCUACUUAUUUUUUUAGUGAUUUGAGUGGUUUUUGUUCAAACAAAAAUGAAAUUAGAGGAAGUCAAAAUGAUGAGGAAUGGAGCAAGUGAAAAAAAAUGAACUCAAAGUAGAUUCCUCAAAAGUUUUGAAGGUCAAUCUUUUCUUGAAUUUUUUUCCUCAUCCAUUUUGAUUUCUUGGUUAUUUAUAUGAUUUCAUUUAAUUUUGAUUCGGUGAAGAAAGAACUUUUUUUUCUUCUCAUCUAUAUUUGUUUACUCUUCACCCAUGGUAGUCGUGCCCCCAUCAUUAGUAGAAUUCAAAUUCUCAUAAUUCAGUCUAUUCCGACACCGAAGUAAGGUUGAAGAAGGACGGAGCUCUACCGUGAAAAGCGAAACAGAUAAAAAACCAUUCUCCUACGCUACAUGUUGGAUGACACAGACAAGUAUAUCUUUGUCCAAUUUGAGAUUCACAUGUUUAAUUGUGGUGAUUUUACGUUAGUUUAAUUUUUAGGAAAAAUUAUGUCUAAUUUGUUCUAAAAAUCUAAAAUACAUUUCUUUAAACUUAAAAUUUACUUAGUUUACACAUAUUUCAUAAAAAUAGUGUUACGUGGUAUAAGAUGAGAAUAUAUAAAAAUACAGAUUAUGUACUUUGUAGUGUAAUUUAUCAAAUAUUUUAAUGUCAAGUGCCAUCGGGGCACGGGUUCUUUCAAACUAUUUAAACUAUCUACGAUUUUGUCCAAACUAACAACACUUUUUUUAAAUUAAUAUAUUUUUUAAUUUAUUCUCCAUUUUGUAGCAAUAUAUCUCUUUAUAUAUGCAUACAAUGUAUCUCUUAUAUGAUAUUUAUAUCUUAUAUUUUUUAGGUUAUAAAAUUCUAACGAAUAAACGGUAUUUUUUUUUGCAUAAUAUUCGUGAACAUAGGCAAUUACUAAUUUUUAUAUAAAAAACAAGAAAAAGACUGCUCUAUCUUUGUUUUUUUAGUUAAGAACCAUCCUAAUCCACGAAGACUGGUCAUGACUCAUUUGUGACUGUAGACUCGCGAAAUCUGUGCCUACUCACGUAUGUAUGUAAAAAGAUAUACUUCCUCUGACGAAAUGACACGUGUCUAUAGGACCCAAAAUUUAAUUACUUCUUUACCCUUGGAAAAGUUACAAACUCAAGCCCAAGUCCAAGGUGGAGGCCUCAUGGGCCACCGUUGGGCCCUUCGUCGUCUUUGGUUGUAUUCUUAGUCUCAAAACAAUUGAUUGGGCGUUUUUGAUUAUGUUGCAAGCAUGUUUUGUAAAUGGCGGGGCAAGUUAGAUUAACUUUAGAGUGGUGUGAGCUUUGCCCAAAAUGAAUACGGUCUCCAUACAUUAUUUUUAAAAUAUUCUCUCUUUGAAUGUGUGUGAAAGAGAGCACUUCAAUAUAAGGGAAAAUUGAUUUAGGAGGGUAAAUAUUCGUUCGCAGAGUUAAUCACAAUAUUAGACUUGAAAAUAACAGCAGCUUGAUGGGCAACAGAAUAGCCAUACAAAUUUGAGCAACGAUCAACAAUAUAAUUGUGUUGGCCGCAAUGAAUGCAAAUUUGAGGACCACGGCCACUGCCUCUCGAAUCACUAGCUCCACAGCCAAAAUUACAAUCAUCACGAGGAUAAUUAUUUCUAAUGCGAUUGGGCCGUCCACGACCAAAAGCAGGGGGCGAUAAGACCCAAAAGAUACAGCCAAAGCUGAGCAAUUGGUAGGAGAGUAAGCAGUGGACGGUGAAAUAGUCUACCGGAGACGACUGAAGACAUCACCAAGGGAGGAGCUCUUUAGCUCUAAGAAUCUAAAAACAGACACUAUCAAAG
rnacentral:lncRNA from 1 species